rnacentral:rRNA from 1 species
GUGAGGAAUUUUCCGCAAUGGGCGAAAGCCUGACGGAGCAAUGCCGCGUGAAGGAUGAAGGCCUAUGGGUUGUAAACUUCUUUUCUCAGAAAAGAAUUAUGACGGUAUCUGAGGAAUAAGCAUCGGCUAACUCUGUGCCAGCAGCCGCGGUAAGACAGAGGAUGCAAGCGUUAUCCGGAAUGAUUGGGCGUAAAGCGUCUGUAGGUUGUUUAAAAAGUAUUCUGUCAAAGAUUAGGGCUUAACCCUAGAUAGGCAGAAUAAACUUUUAAGCUAGAGUUUGAUAGAGGCAGAGGGAAUACCCGGUGGAGCGGUGAAAUGCGUAGAUAUCGGGAGGAACACCAAAGGCGAAGGCACUCUGCUGGGCCAAUACUAACACUGAGAGACGAAAGCGAGGGGAGCAAAUGGGAUUAGAUACCCGAGUAGUCC